UAAGAAAUAUCAGAGGUCUUCUGCUUCUAGAGCCUAAGAUUCUUCCCCACAUGAGGCUGCUUUUCAUCAUGGGUUAAGCGAUGUCAACAAAUGUUGAAUAGGACUCAGAUGUGAAUCAGAGCUACAUUGCUUUUUCCUGCCCUACCUUGCCAAAGAGAUAUCUGGAGGAGCAGAAUGAGGGAAAAAUAGCUCCUAGUCAGAUGGAUACAAGCCUAGAACUUACCCUACUUGACUCCUAAUGACGGUUACAUGGCCUAUGUAUCCUCAUGUUUGGAUGUUGUAGGUCAACCUUACUUGAGAGUGUUGGUGGUUUAUUGUCUUCCAGCUUCUUCCAGUUGGAUUUCAAGAAAAAGGAAGCAUGGUUUUACAAGGAAAUGGCAUGUAAUCUGACUACACACUAAGAAGAAGAAGACUUUUAGCAAAGAAGUCCUGUACGUCAUUCACUCAUUCGCUAUGCCAUUGUCCUCUAUUCAAAGAAGACCUAGAAUACGGAAAUUUUUUUUUUUUUUUUUUACGGAAAUUUUUAAAAGAGGUUAAAACAAUGACACCUCAUCAGAAUAAGCAGAUAUACUACAAGUUAUUUGAUGUGUGCCUACUACAUACCAUUGGCUUUUGCCUUAAAUGAUUUUUAUUUAAUUCUCUCAGUAACACUGUAGGUAUGCAUUAUAGUUAAUUAUUUGAUAAUACACUGGGGUUUAUAAAAGAGAAAUGACUUGCUGAAGGUUAUGCAGUCAGCAGGGGACAGCCAGUAUUGGAACUCAGAACUGCCAGAUUCCAAAUCCUGAACUCUUGGUUUAUUUAUUUGUGUGUGUGUGUGUGUGUGUGUGUGUAACUUUUUUUUUUUACUUUUUUUUUUUAAAAAUCAUGAUUGCUGCUGCUCAUUAUGUAACCAGAGCUCAUUUACAUAUACAGAUAUUCUGCAGCUUUCACUUUUUAAAACUUCAUUACUUUGUGCAUAUACCAUAUAUAAAGAUAACUUGAGAAGUCAGGUCUGGAGGAUUUACCUCUCCACUUCUUGCCCACAGAGUAAGUUUUCUCUAUUAUUCUAAAUGAGACAUACCUACAUGUUGGAAAUUAAAACAUCUAUUUAACAUGAAAAUCUCUUCAAUCUUGGAAGUAGAGACCAGUUGCACUUCUGAAGUAAUAUAAAGAAUAAUGUGAACCAUUUUAAAGACUGAAUGCCCUCCUCUUUUAAGUAAACACUCCCUUUAGCACUCAGGUUGUCAUCUUGUCUCUGACACAAACAGCCUGAUUCCCACAUGACACACUCAGAGCCUGCCCUGCACAGACUCAUUUACAAUGACUCCAUUUAAGUCACACUUUGUAAAUUGUUCCCGAGAGACCCAGCUCAAGUAGA
rnacentral:lncRNA from 12 species